rnacentral:rRNA from 1 species
AUACGUAGGGGGCUAGCGUUAUCCGGAAUUACUGGGCGUAAAGGGUGCGUAGGCGGCCUUGUAAGUCAGAUGUGAAAGAUCAUGGCUUAACUGUGGUAAGCAUUUGAAACUGCAGGGCUUGAGUACAGGAGAGGAGAGUGGAAUUCCUAGUGUAGCGGUGAAAUGCGUAGAUAUUAGGAGGAAUACCAGUGGCGAAGGCGACUCUCUGGACUGAUACUGACGCUGAGGCACGAAAGCGUGGGGAGCAAACAGGAUUAGAUACCCUGGUAGUCCACGCUAUAAACGAUGAGUGCUAGGUGUCGGGGGUCAAACCUCGGUGCCGCAGUUAACACAUUAAGCACUCCGCCUGGGGAGUACGGCCGCAAGGCUGAAACUCAAAUGAAUUGACGGGG